CCUACGGGAGGCAGCAGUAGGGAAUCUUCCACAAUGGGCGAAAGCCUGAUGGAGCAACGCCGCGUGGGUGAAGAAGGUCUUCGGAUCGUAAAACCCUGUUGUUAGAGAAGAAAGUGCGUGAGAGUAACUGUUCACGUUUCGACGGUAUCUAACCAGAAAGCCACGGCUAACUACGUGCCAGCAGCCGCGGUAAUACGUAGGUGGCAAGCGUUAUCCGGAUUUAUGGGGCGUAAAGGGAACGCAGGCGGUCUUUUAAGUCUGAUGUGAAAGCCUUCGGCUUAACCGGAGUAGUGCAUUGGAAACUGGGAGACUUGAGUGCAGAAGAGGAGAGUGGAACUCCAUGUGUAGCGGUGAAAUGCGGAGAUAGAUGGAAGAACACCAGUGGCGAAAGCGGCUCUCUGGUCUGUAACUGACGCUGAGGUUCGAAAGCGUGGGUAGCAAACAGGAUUAGAUACCCUUGUAGUC
rnacentral:rRNA from 1 species